UGGCACUAAGAAUGCAGUUCGAUUUGUGAUAGAGAGUGGCUCUGUUUAUUGAACUGAACAGGUUUUUAAUUGUAUGUCUGUCUUCAGCUGGUUCAAAAUGCAAAGUGAAAAAUAUGCAGAAAUAGAAAAAUUGAAGACUUGGGCUGGAAUACCUUACGUUUCUCUUUAGAUAAAGUGAUGUCAUCAAGUUUCGCUUUUUCAUAACUGGUUACAAGGAAAAAGAAAAAAAUACACACGAAGCCAAGAAAACACUAAAGAGAAUGCUUAAUGAAAAAGUCUUGUGUAAAUGUAAGGAAAUUCAGUCAUUUUGUCCAUUCCUCCAAGGCGUAACAUAUUAGACUGCGACCAUGCUGGGGCACAACCUUGAAGGACUUGAGUCGAACGAAUUGGUCCCAGGAGUUUAUUUUUUUCUUUAAAACCUGUUUCAGCCCGAGGACUGAGUCCAUGCUGGAGCAACGCAGUUUGCAUUGCUUCACUUUCACUAAACUUCCUUUGAUAUUUAACACUUCGUGGAUGUGGGAGUUUGACGUUGCUGCCUUCAUUUGUGUUUCUUGCCUUGAGCAGAUAACAUGAUCUGUCUUGAAACUUUUACCAUUAUUACGCCAACUGUGACUUUGGUUCGAGGUUAUAUGACGCCAUUCAUCUGCUACCUUCACAAUUCAUAUAUCUCAAGUUAUAAAAACGAAUUCUAUCAAGUUAUAAUUUGUUUCAGCCAUGCAGCUGCGGUCAUGCUGGAGCACCACCGUGGUUUUGCACUGUUACUUAUGAUAAUCCUUCGGCUAAUUUCCUCAAGCUGGUGGGGUUUCACAUCACCACCCCUGUACGUGCCUUUGUCUCACCUGUUAACCCAUUUGGUGUAUGAGGGAGCUUGAUUUCGCUGCACUCGUCUCUACCUCAUGCCGAGCCGUUGGUUCAUCCGGUAUUGUGGAGAGGAAGAUGUCUAGUUCCUUUCUGAAGAUAUCUACGUCCACAUUAUGCAUACACAGACAUGACAGAA